CGGUGAAAACAGGGCGCCUGGGGCGUUUUGAUCAAGGCUCUUGAAAUUCGCUUUCGUGGAGCACGUGACCGAGAUUUCGACUUGGCCCAUGGGUGGUUUUUUAGCUAUUACCUGCUACGGUGAACCAGAAUUUAAUUUAUACAUUCAUUGCGCGGCUGUUACAAAGAGUGAUACACACACAUUGGGCACACUCUGAACUAAGGAACUAAUAGUGUUAGAGAGAGAGGAAGAGUGUUGUUGUUGAGUUUUGCUGUUUUAUGAAUGUUUAAUGUGUUUUUAACUACCUCAAUCUCGCUUUUACAAUAUCUGAGACAUGAACAUGUUGAAGAUGCAGAAUGGCUCUGCCCCGUGUGCCGCAGCAAGCCACAGCCUGCCGGAGAGAGCACAUCAACCAUGCUUUAUUUCACGUGUUACCUAGUUAUAACUUAUAUUAUAUCUGUGUCGAACAAAUUAAGUAUUAACUGAUGGAAAUCUGACCACUUGCGCAACCCAUCUUCUCACAGCAUGGACAUCCGGAGAGAACUAUGCGGCAUGACAAACUCUACGAGCACUGGUGGUUCCUCCCUGCCGUCUCACGGCAGCGGCGCGACGGUGUCGAGAACAGUGGCUUGGUCAGCGUGGAAUCCGGCGAAGCGCUGCGCGCUGAGGGUGGGUGAUAGAUGACCGGUCACUGAACAAUGAAGCGAGUCAGAUCAUUGGGCGCAGUGAUUACCAGCCACGCAUCGCGGCUGGUCCGCGGAAGUUAUUGCUUUGAUGUCGGACUAAGUCACACAAUGUUUUGUCACAUUCUAGAGUGAUGCUGAGUGCUGACAAUGGAAUGCAUCGCUAAUUUGCUUCCGAUGCUGCCUUAACGGUGAUAUGAGAUGCGUGAUAAACCGUUUGUUUGUUUGUUUGUUUGUUUGUUUGUUUGUUUGUUUCGUUGGGUUAGGCCCUUUCGGUCCGAUGAGACCAUUGCAGAGCCGGGAGGAUGAUAUGACUUGGGGGGAGGGGGCAUGGGGCGAGCACCCUAGUGAGUCGCCGGGGCUGAGCCCAUUUAAAUGGGCAGGCCACCCAGCCCCCAGGCUACGGGCGUGCUCGGCUUAUGGGCAAUCCCGCAUGGAAUAAAGUUGCCCGUCCAGCCCGGACCAGGGGGUUGAGGCGUGGAGAAGAAGGG